CAGAGUUGUAAAACUCCCAAACCCAUGUGAACAUACCUGUUGCCUCGGUGGCCUACCCGGUAGCUACCCUGUAGCUACCCUGUAGUCCGCCGGCGGAAUUCAAAACUCUUGUUUAUUUAUUAUCUCUGAGAAUAAAACAAAUAAGUCA
rnacentral:misc_RNA from 1 species